GAAGAUCGUCUGACCAGGAGGAAGAGUUUCGUGGACACAAUCUCCCUUCAGGUGGACAUCAUGUCCAACAACCUUCCAGACAAGUCCCAGCUGGCCGAGGAGAUCACGUUUGAGACCCUGAAGAAGGCCAUCGACACGACGGGUCUGGAGGAGCAGGAGAGGGAGAAGAGGCGUCAGGUGAUGGAGAAAUUCCAGAAAGCUCCGUUUGAGGAGAUCGCUGCCCACUGCGAGUCCAAGGCGAACAUGCUGCACGACCGGCUGGCACAAAUAUUUGAACUUACAAUCAGG